AGAGUUUGAUCAUGGCUCAGAUUGAACGCUGGCGGCAGGCCUAACACAUGCAAGUCGAGCGGUAGCACAGAGAGCUUGCUCUCGGGUGACGAGCGGCGGACGGGUGAGUAAUGUCUGGGAAACUGCCUGAUGGAGGGGGAUAACUACUGGAAACGGUAGCUAAUACCGCAUAAUGUCGCAAGACCAAAGUGGGGGACCUUCGGGCCUCAUGCCAUCAGAUGUGCCCAGAUGGGAUUAGCUAGUAGGUGGGGUAACGGCUCACCUAGGCGACGAUCCCUAGCUGGUCUGAGAGGAUGACCAGCCACACUGGAACUGAGACACGGUCCAGACUCCUACGGGAGGCAGCAGUGGGGAAUAUUGCACAAUGGGCGCAAGCCUGAUGCAGCCAUGCCGCGUGUGUGAAGAAGGCCUUCGGGUUGUAAAGCACUUUCAGCGGGGAGGAAGGCGGUGAGGUUAAUAACCUCAUCGAUUGACGUUACCCGCAGAAGAAGCACCGGCUAACUCCGUGCCAGCAGCCGCGGUAAUACGGAGGGUGCAAGCGUUAAUCGGAAUUACUGGGCGUAAAGCGCACGCAGGCGGUCUGUCAAGUCGGAUGUGAAAUCCCCGGGCUCAACCUGGGAACUGCAUUCGAAACUGGCAGGCUAGAGUCUUGUAGAGGGGGGUAGAAUUCCAGGUGUAGCGGUGAAAUGCGUAGAGAUCUGGAGGAAUACCGGUGGCGAAGGCGGCCCCCUGGACAAAGACUGACGCUCAGGUGCGAAAGCGUGGGGAGCAAACAGGAUUAGAUACCCUGGUAGUCCACGCCGUAAACGAUGUCGAUUUGGAGGUUGUGCCCUUGAGGCGUGGCUUCCGGAGCUAACGCGUUAAAUCGACCGCCUGGGGAGUACGGCCGCAAGGUUAAAACUCAAAUGAAUUGACGGGGGCCCGCACAAGCGGUGGAGCAUGUGGUUUAAUUCGAUGCAACGCGAAGAACCUUA
rnacentral:rRNA from 1 species